rfam:Gossypium raimondii Chr04_contig_35, whole genome shotgun sequence.
ACGACCUUACUUGAACAGGAUCUGUUCUAUAGGCUCGUACCUCCUUAUCCUUAAGCUCUAAGGAGAUAGGAUUCCAAGUCUGGUUGAUGAAUGGUAGCUGUGUGAUCAGAGCGUGAUUAUUGGCUGAAUGGUUCGGUAUUGGAUCAGCUUAGCUGCAGAGGAUCGUUCUCAGCUAAAACCUUGGUUGAGAUGGUCACACAGUUAUCUGACAGACU